AUUGAACGCUGGCGGCAGGCCUAACACAUGCAAGUCGAGCGGUAGCACAGAGAGCUUGCUCUCGGGUGACGAGCGGCGGACGGGUGAGUAAUGUCUGGGAAACUGCCUGAUGGAGGGGGAUAACUACUGGAAACGGUAGCUAAUACCGCAUAAUGUCGCAAGACCAAAGUGGGGGACCUUCGGGCCUCAUGCCAUCAGAUGUGCCCAGAUGGGAUUAGCUAGUAGGUGGGGUAACGGCUCACCUAGGCGACGAUCCCUAGCUGGUCUGAGAGGAUGACCAGCCACACUGGAACUGAGACACGGUCCAGACUCCUACGGGAGGCAGCAGUGGGGAAUAUUGCACAAUGGGCGCAAGCCUGAUGCAGCCAUGCCGCGUGUGUGAAGAAGGCCUUCGGGUUGUAAAGCACUUUCAGCGGGGAGGAAGGCGUUAAGGUUAAUAACCUUGGCGAUUGACGUUACCCGCAGAAGAAGCACCGGCUAACUCCGUGCCAGCAGCCGCGGUAAUACGGAGGGUGCAAGCGUUAAUCGGAAUUACUGGGCGUAAAGCGCACGCAGGCGGUCUGUCAAGUCGGAUGUGAAAUCCCCGGGCUCAACCUGGGAACUGCAUUCGAAACUGGCAGGCUAGAGUCUUGUAGAGGGGGGUAGAAUUCCAGGUGUAGCGGUGAAAUGCGUAGAGAUCUGGAGGAAUACCGGUGGCGAAGGCGGCCCCCUGGACAAAGACUGACGCUCAGGUGCGAAAGCGUGGGGAGCAAACAGGAUUAGAUACCCUGGUAGUCCACGCCGUAAACGAUGUCGAUUUGGAGGUUGUGCCCUUGAGGCGUGGCUUCCGGAGCUAACGCGUUAAAUCGACCGCCUGGGGAGUACGGCCGCAAGGUUAAAACUCAAAUGAAUUGACGGGGGCCCGCACAAGCGGUGGAGCAUGUGGUUUAAUUCGAUGCAACGCGAAGAACCUUACCUGGUCUUGACAUCCACAGAACUUUCCAGAGAUGGAUUGGUGCCUUCGGGAACUGUGAGACAGGUGCUGCAUGGCUGUCGUCAGCUCGUGUUGUGAAAUGUUGGGUUAAGUCCCGCAACGAGCGCAACCCUUAUCCUUUGUUGCCAGCGGUCCGGCCGGGAACUCAAAGGAGACUGCCAGUGAUAAACUGGAGGAAGGUGGGGAUGACGUCAAGUCAUCAUGGCCCUUACGACCAGGGCUACACACGUGCUACAAUGGCAUAUACAAAGAGAAGCGACCUCGCGAGAGCAAGCGGACCUCAUAAAGUAUGUCGUAGUCCGGAUUGGAGUCUGCAACUCGACUCCAUGAAGUCGGAAUCGCUAGUAAUCGUAGAUCAGAAUGCUACGGUGAAUACGUUCCCGGGCCU
rnacentral:rRNA from 1 species